CUGGCGGCAUGCCUUACACAUGCAAGUCGAGCGGCAGCGCGGGGGCAACCCUGGCGGCGAGCGGCGAACGGGUGAGUAAUGCAUCGGAACGUGUCCUCUUGUGGGGGAUAACCAGUCGAAAGACUGGCUAAUACCGCAUGAGAUCGAGAGAUGAAAGCAGGGGAUCCGUAAGGACCUUGCGCGAGAGGAGCGGCCGAUGCCCGAUUAGCUAGUUGGUGGGGUAAAAGCCUACCAAGGCGACGAUCGGUAGCUGGUCUGAGAGGACGACCAGCCACACUGGGACUGAGACACGGCCCAGACUCCUACGGGAGGCAGCAGUGGGGAAUUUUGGACAAUGGGGGCAACCCUGAUCCAGCCAUGCCGCGUGUGUGAAGAAGGCCUUCGGGUUGUAAAGCACUUUCGGACGGAACGAAAUCGCGCGAGUUAAUAACUCGCGUGGAUGACGGUACCGUAAGAAGAAGCACCGGCUAACUACGUGCCAGCAGCCGCGGUAAUACGUAGGGUGCGAGCGUUAAUCGGAAUUACUGGGCGUAAAGUGUGCGCAGGCGGCGUUGCAAGUCGAGUGUGAAAUCCCCGAGCUUAACUUGGGAAUUGCGCUCGAAACUACGAUGCUCGAGUGUGGCAGAGGAAGGUGGAAUUCCACGUGUAGCGGUGAAAUGCGUAGAGAUGUGGAGGAACACCGAUGGCGAAGGCAGCCUUCUGGGCCAACACUGACGCUCAUGC
rnacentral:rRNA from 1 species